UGUCAACUUUUAUCACGUACGGUAGGUUAUAUUAAAAAAUAAUAAUAAUAAUAAAUCGAUUUACUUGGUGACGAUAAAUGACACGCAGAUAUUAUUAUGAGCUGUGCAGGCAAUUGGAAAAUCUGUUAAGUCGUAGCACACGAAGGAGAAAUUGCUUAUUUCGGAGGUACUGGAUUAGUGAAUACCAAUCAUGAUAUAAAAUGAUAUUGGGUUGUAACAUUUGUUUCUUAUGUCUCAUAUCAUUGAAAGUCAGGCCUUGAAAAUAAGCUCUGCUGCAAGUGGCUAUCUUAUUGUCUCGAGCCAAGGUGAUAGUUACGAUAAACCACGGUGUUUGAAAUAUCAUUUAUCACAGUUAGGCGUGCGUCAGGGUGGACGGUUUGAACACACAGGAACAAGUACUAGUGUCAUAAACAAGCCCUACGAACCACGAAAGAAAUCUAUAUCACAACCCAAGAUUCUUGGUACGUAUAUAAAAUUCGAGAAAUGUAUUAUCAACCGAAAACGAUAUUUUAGGGGUAAAAGGGGUGGACUCCGCGCUCGGAGAACUUAACGAUCUGGCUGUAUGAUCUCGGUCGUAAAUGGACUCGAUCCCAGUCGCAUUCUGCAGGUUGGGUACUGGGGUCAAACGCCGACGGCUCAGUUCUUGGGCAAAGUGCCGGAGAACCAGGGCGAGGAAUCUUGGUUGCUGCAACCUGCGUAUAUAGGGUGCCAUGCUCCGGCAUCUAGAUAUUCUGUAUGGAAACUUGGAUGUACCAGAUCAUCCUUACCUCAGCGUUAUCUCGAGGACGGCUAGGAUGACGCCGUAGAACAGGGUCUCGGCGCCGAAGACCUUUAUUAGCACCCGCAGUAGACUCGGAUGCACCGGCUCAUCUUCGUCUUCGUCUUCUUUCGGGCCCUUGGCCUUGCUCUUCUUCGAAUCCCGCUUGGCGGUCAGUCUCUGAAUCUCGUUCUCCCAUGUCUUCGUUAUCUUCUCCCCGAGGAGGCCACUCGUAUGCUCCUUCAGCGGAGUGUAUAGAUCUUCGACCUCGAGGUCACGCUUAUAGCCGAGCCAGAAGGUGCCCAGGAUCCAUCUGUGUUCAAAUACAAGGAAAGAAAUUUGAAAGAAAGGAAAAACAUACACUGUCAGAGGUAGGUGAACAAUAUCUGACGCGGUAUGAUAAAGUGGGCACGUUUCUUUGGACGAAUCGCUGUGGCACGACCGCCUCUUCGCCGUAAAAGAGACUAAGAGAGUUGAAUAAAUCCAGGUUCCGUCAACGAUUAUAUAUCCGAUCGCGAUGAGUAGGUGACGUGCGUUACCAGAGAUAACAACAUACAUCGGUGUGACAUGUGAAUAUACGCGCAGAUAACAAUUUCCAUGUCACGAAAUUAUAUAAGGUAAACUUACAUACUUAUGAG
rnacentral:lncRNA from 1 species